rnacentral:rRNA from 1 species
AUGGAUGCCCGCAAUCUGCAGACCGUGAUCCUCAAGAUAGCAGUGCCCGUGAUGGCCAUGGUGCUGCUGCUCACGGUGUCGACUGUCUCCAUGACGCCGGACGACUGUGCCUGCGCCUGCCUCCGCGCCUGCUUCUUCGACAGCAACUACUGCCUGAUGAUCUGCGUGCUCUCCCAGAUCAACCUGGGCCGUCUUCUGGCGAGGGAGGCCGCUCUGUCGCCGACGCUGGCGGAUCGGCGCUACUACGCGGUGGGCGCCGUCGCGUGCUUCGUGGAGGUAGCGCUCAAGCUGUACGUGAUCCUGGUUCCGUGCCCCUCGGCUUAG